GCGGGGCGGGGCGCGCCUGGCCAGGCAGGCUGGAAACGGUAGCUCUUAACUGUUCCCCGCCCGUUGAUGACGAGGCGGCUGGACUAGAAUCCCAGCAGGAAACAUGAGAGGAGGCGGGCAGCCCAAGAGGGUUGGGCAGGGCAGUGUGGACCUCGCCGCUUCCACAGCGAUGCUGGCUACUGAUCGCGGGCACCUCCUUGCCAUGGGAUCCGGUGGGCUCCGGCGGCUGCGCCGCGGCGGACAAAGAUGCUGAAGGCCAAGAUCCUCUUCGUGGGGCUUUGCGAGUCUGGUUCCCACUGCUCCCCGCUGCAGACAGCCCAUAGCUGGUUGCAUCUUGUCAGAGGCAAACACCCGGAGAUGGAGAUGUGUGUCUCAGUCCUAAGCCCAAGUCUCCAGAGAAGGGCAUCUGGAGGGCCCUCCAGGGUCCAUCCCAACCCAAAUCUUCUGUAGUCAAGAACAAGGAGCCAGUGGUGCAGACACAGAUGCAGUUCCAUCGCUUGGGCCCCACCAAGGAGAGAAGAAGUUCUCAGAGACUAGAGUGGAGGAUGGAGACAGGCUGGGCCCACACCCCCAUGCCCCACAGGUACCUACUACGACUCCCCAGAAAUAAACAUUUCCCCAGUCCUGGGAGCCGCCCCCCGCUUCCCUGUUUCUGUCAAAGCCACCGACACUUUUCC
rnacentral:lncRNA from 1 species